ACGGGAGGCAGCAGUAGGGAAUCUUGCGCUAAUGCGCGAAAGCGUGACGCAGCGACGCCGCGUGCGGGAUGAAGGCCCUCGGGUCGUAAACCGCUUUCGGCAGGGACGAAGCGAAAGUGACGGUACCUGCAGAAGAAGUCCCGGCUAACUACGUGCCAGCAGCCGCGGUAACACGUAGGGGACGAGCGUUGUCCGGAUUCAUUGGGCGUAAAGCGCGCGUAGGCGGCUCGGAAAGUCGGUCGUGAAAUCCUGGGGCUCAACCCCGGAACUGCGUCCGAUACUCCCGAGCUGGAGGCAGGUAGGGGAGAUCGGAAUUCCUGGUGUAGCGGUGAAAUGCGCAGAUAUCAGGAGGAACACCGGUGGCGAAGGCGGAUCUCUGGGCCUUGCCUGACGCUGAGGCGCGAAAGCUAGGGGAGCGAACAGGAUUAGAUACCCUGGUA
rnacentral:rRNA from 1 species